CUUCCCCUAUUUCCCAUCCUCCUUAUAGUACUCCAACACCUCCACAAACACCUUCUCCAAGUUCUCAACCACCCCAUGUAACAACACCUCCAAAAACACCCUCUCCUAUUUCUCAACCUCCCUAUGUUUUGUCACCUCCAAAAACACCCUCUCCAAGUUCUCAAGCUCCCUAUGUAACAACACCUCCAAAAACACCCUCUCCAAGUUCUCAACCACCCUAUGUGCUAACACCUCCAAAAACUUCUUCACCAAGUUCUCAACCUCCAUAUGUGCUAACCCCUCCAAAAACACCCUCUCCAAGUUCUCAACCUCCCUAUGUUCCAUCACCUCCAAAAACACCCUCUCCAAUUGCUCAAGCUCCCUAUGUACUAUCACCUCCAAACACACCCUCUCCAAUUUCUCAACCACCCUAUGUAACAACACCUCCAAGCACUCCUUCUCCUAUCAAUCAACCACCCUAUGUAACAACACCCCCAAAACCCAGUUCUCCUAUUUCUCAACCUCCAUAUAUAUCAACACCUCCAAACACUCCUUCUCCUAUCAAUCAACCACCCUAUAUAACAACACCUCCAAAACCCAGUUCUCCUACUUCCCAACCUCCAUAUAUAUCAACUCCUCCACCAACCCCUUCUCCUAUUUCUCAAUCUCCCUAUGUAACAACACCUCCUAAACCCAUUUCUCCUUCUUCUCAACCUCCAUAUAUAUCAUCACCUCCAACAACAACCCCAUCUCCUAUUUCUCAACCUCCCUAUGUCUCAACACCUCCAAAAACUGCUUCUCCUACUUCUCAACCUCCACAUAUAUCAAUACCUCCACAAACUAGUUACCCCAUUUCUCAACCUCCAUAUAUUUCACAAC
rnacentral:lncRNA from 1 species